CAAGGAAAGAUGUUCCCGUAAUUUGGGUUUGAGUAAGCCGAAGAGUGGAAUGAAAACAUUUUACAUCGUUGCAAAAAUACCAACCUACCAGCGAUAAGAAGAUGGAUAAACAGCUACUCUGGCUUUGUAUCCUGGCCUGCCUUCUGUUCCAGGCCUCUUCCAUACCCGUCUCGGAGAGCGAAGUUACUCGGGAGCGACGUUCGCCAUGUUCAUCUGGAGGCUGCAGUUUUCUGAAGAAAGUGAAGUUUUCGAGGCGUAAAAGACCAGGAAGACCAGGAAGAAGACGACCUAAUCGCUUCAGGGGUUCCAGAGAGUGGGGAUUACCAGACGAUGACUUGACUGAUAUCAUUGGAUAUAACGACCAGCAGAAAUCCAUCGAUAAUUAAUUUAGCUUAACAGUUUCAGAAUAUUCCACUCUCAUCUGAUAGCACUGUAGAAUAGAUCUCUGUGUACUAAUAUCAUAUUAUUCUGUAGCCUAAUUUCGCACUGUAAAGCAUGAGUUGUUCACUUCUUUUUAAAUAUAGAAGUCUUCGUUUUAUUAGAAGCUGAAUAAAAGUUGUAUCCUUAAUCAA
rnacentral:lncRNA from 1 species